UAGACUGACUGCAGCUGUAGGUGAACUAGUGUACUCUUUUAGCAUACUGCUGAGUAUGUUAGUAUGGUGAUGAAUGAGUGCUAGAGGCGGACGAGGCCACACUGGAAACGGUGUCGGAUGUCAGUGCGCGUCUCGCGGUGCUGCUGUAAGCUCCAGCGGUAGGGAAGUGAGAAACACUUCCUACUUCCUCACGCACCGCUGUUCAAUCGCUGAGCUCAGAGGGCCGAAGGCGGAAAAAGUAAGGUAGUUCUGAACAACGACGCGGACAACUUUUAAGUCUCACACAGGCUCACAUUUGAGGAAAAAAGGCAGCGGGGAAUGAACGAGGAGGAGAGCAGUGCGGGUUGAAGCUAGCCGAGAUGGCUGCGCGCGUGCGGAGCGGAGCUGAGUGACGAGGCGACUUCACACAUACACACAUACAUACACACACACACACACACACACACCGGGCCUCGCAACUUCUGAAAGUUGAACAACAAGGCGUCGAGAUGAAGAAGCAGUUUAAUCGUAUGAAACAGCUCGCCAACCAGACGGUUGGAAGAGCAGAGAAAACAGAAGUCCUUAGUGAUGACCUUCUACAGAUCGAGCGGCGCAUGGAGAUUGUGCGGUUGGUCUCGCAUAACACGCACAAGAAGUUGGUGUCAUGUCUGCAGGGCCAUGUUGGAGCAGACGUGGAAAAGAGACACAAAAAGCUGCCUCUGAUGGGCCUCUCUCAGGCCAUGGUGGAUGGAGCGGGUCAGUUAGGAGAAGAUUGCAUGAUUGGGAAGAUGAUUGAGGUGUGUGGAGAAGCUGAAAGUAAGCUUGCCCUUGAGCAGAGCCAGCAUGAAGUCCAGCUUGAGAAGGAAGUCCUGGACCCACUCAACCAGCUAGCAGAAGUUGAUAUUCCCAAUAUUAUGAAACAGAGAAAGCAACUAGCCAAACUUGUACUGGAUUAUGAUUCUGCAAGAGCGAGAUAUCUGCAGGCCACUAAAGCAAUUCUCACGGCCACAAACAACCAGGCAAUGACUGCCAAAGCUGACUCAUGUAAAGAGGAGAUGGAUGAAGCUCACAACAAAGUAGAGAUAUGUAAGGAUCAGCUGGCUGCUGACAUGUACAACUUCUCCUCCAAGGAGGGAGAAUAUGCCCGUUAUUACGUCAUGUUGUUAGAGGCCCAAGCUGAAUACCACAGAAGAUCACUGGCUUCCAUUGAAAGCGUCCUGCCCGCUAUCAGAUCACAGGAAGAAACGUGGAUGGAGAAGCCAGCGUUUGGCACAGCACUUGAGGAGCACCUUAAGCGCAGUAACAGGGAGAUUGCUCUGCCUAUAGAGGCCUGUGUCAUGAUGCUGUUGGAAACAGGCAUGAAAGAGGAGGGAUUGUUUCGUAUUGCUGCAGGAGCUUCAAAACUAAAGAAGCUCAAAGCGGCACUGGAUUGUUCAACCUCUCAACUGGAGGAGUUUUACUCUGACCCCCAUGCUGUAGCUGGAGCCCUGAAGUCAUACCUGAGGGAGCUGCCUGAACCGCUGAUGACGUUCCAGCAUUAUGAUGACUGGAUUCAAGCCUCAAAUGUUUCUGAUCCAGAUAAGAGACUGCAGGCAUUGUGGGUAACGUGUGACAAUUUGCCAAAGGCCAACAAGGCUAACCUGAAAUAUUUGGUGAAGUUCCUUGCUAAGCUAGCUCAGGAGAGUGAGGUCAAUAAAAUGACCCCAAGCAACAUUGCCAUUGUACUGGGACCAAACCUGCUGUGGGCCAAAACUGAAGGGACUCUUGCUGAAAUGGCAGCUGCUACCUCAGUUCAUGUGGUGGCUAUAAUUGAGCCUAUCAUCCAACAUGCAGACUGGUUUUUCCCAGAAGAUUUGGAAUUCAAUGUGUCAGGCAUGUUUGUGAUGCCCACUGGCCCCGUGCACCAGCCUGGGUACCCUGCUACCCCCGAGCCUGAAUAUGCUACUAUAGAGCGGAGACGCCCGGGCAGCCAGGGGGCAUUGGAGAUCGAGACUCCACGCAAAGACAGCCCCACUAGCAAACAUCCGGAGCAUACACCUCGUAGAACUGGCACUCUAAAUAGAAAGCAGCAGCAGCAGCAGCACACCUCUCCAGCCUUCCAGCCCCCUCUUCCUCCGGUGGAGGCAGGGGGGGUCCCAGCGUCCGAGGCCCCCUCUCAGUCAGCUGUAGGGGGCUCGGAGGCUGGAGCUAUAAUGGCUCAGAACCAGCAGCCUAUAAACCAGCAGCAAUCUGCUGAAGAGAACAGUAGUGUUGUACGAGAGCCAGCCUCAACACCUCCACCCCUGAGAAAUGGCCCUGGAGGCCCCAGUGGAACACCUGGGCAGCUGACAGUGGUGACGCCAGCAUCUACUUCCAAGGGCCCCAGUCCACACUUGGUGCGCAGAGGUACAAAGAAACAGGCCCCUGCACCACCUAAAGUGGCUCCCAACUCCUCUUCCUCUGCAACUACGCCCCUUAAAGCCACACCCUUCUCUGCACAGGCCCAAAACCAAAACCCAGCCACGAGUCCCGCCCAGCCUGUAACCCUACCUCGCCGCCAAUCCAGUAGCCAGAUGCCCAUUCACGCUCCAAGUCACCCUCCUCCUCAGCCUCCACAGAACUCCACAGACCCAGAGCCAUCCCCUCCCCAUAGCCCCACUCUUCCUGACAUGCCCCCACAUGACUCCACCCACUCUGCUUCUUUGUACCGCCCUCGGCCAGUUCCCAGACCACGGCCCAGACCCAGUGUACCACCGCCACCCCAGCCUCCCAGCGAGAGCUCUAAUGGAGUAUGCAACUCUGCCUCCAAGAUCAUUACAGGUUGAGGAUCUUAUCCUGGGCAAGAUGUGUGACCUCCUGCCUGUGAACUAAGAGUUGAAUUGCAGGCUAUGAUGUGACAUUGAAGGGGUCUGGGCGGCUCCUUGUCCCGCAUAUAGCUGUGGAACAGCCUGUGACUACGCCCCCUGAUGCUGAGACCCAAUCAGAGAGUACCAUCUUUUGAAGAGGAGAUGAAACCCCUCCCUCCUUCUCCUCCUCCUCAUGCAGCCAAUCGCUCCUGUUAAUGCUGUUUUGAGGCAGAGCGAUGCUCUGUAGACAAUCCUGGCACUCCAGGGUCUUCUAGGCACCGACGGAACUUUUUAAAUGUGGUUACUUUUUCAACAUUGCUGACAAAUUGAAGCUUGAGGUAAGCGAUAAACAUGCGCUGUACUGUACCAUUAUCACAUAAACUGUACCCCCUCUCUCGUGCCAGAAUGAUUCCAGUUGCUUAGGCUUUAACUUCACAUAUGUUUAUUUUUUGUGUUUUGUAUUGUAAACUACAUACAUGCAUAUUAUUACUUGUGCCUUCAAGAGUGUUUUACUGCACAUAAUUGCAAAGGAACAGCAAAGACAAAGCAAACCAAGCUUUAUGUAAAUUAAGUUCUCAUUCACACACAGUCACACACCCAGUUCUGUGUGCGCUGCCUUGUUAUGUGUGUUAUCAUACUGUCUUGUUCCUGACAGCCAUCUUUAUUUUAAACUCGGUUACUAAGAGUGCAGGAUUUCAUUUUGAGUAGCUGAGAGAUAAUGGAGCGAUUUUCAGAGAGACCAAAGACCUGUUAUAGGAAAUGUAUAAUAGUGAAAAACUUGAUUUUAAAAGAAUACAUAUGGAAAAGCAUUGUAUGGCUAAAUAUUGAAAUAUUGAUUUUUGAGAACUUUUAUUCCUGUGGUGCAAUGUUGAUUGCAGUUUAGACCUUCUUUCAUUUUUUUCUUUUUUUUUUUCUUCUUACAAAUGAGACAAUCACUGUAUCAAUAUUUUAAAGUAAACGAGUGAAAUUGUGAAGUAGCACAGGGUUUGAUCAAAUGGACCAAAUAGUACAGCAAUAAAACCAUCUCACAUAUCUGUUAAACAUCAUUCAAAUAAGUGGAUAUCUACAUGGUGUUUCAACAGUCAUUUGGACCAUCUGUAUGCAUUGUUUUUCAACAAGUACAACAAGUCCAGAUGGCUAUUUUUCUCUUGAGUGUGCUGUUGGGGUAAAAUUGUUUAGAUGUUUUAAGAAGGAAAUGCUACAAUGACAUUGAUGUCUUCUGAAAAGGACCAAAUAUUAAAUUCCCAGAAAAGCUGGACUGAAAAUAUCUCAUUUGAUUUGAUCUAGUUGAAUUUUUUUUUUUUGUCUUUUUUGCAUGGUUUGCUUGUAAUUUUGGUUAUUUUUGUUAUAAGAAUGACAGUCCAACAAAAAAUGGGGGUGAAUAGUUGAUAGUUCAGUUACACUCAGGAAAUAGCAACUAAGAAAAGAAAGUCAUAAAUCCAUUUAAUUUCUGACAGAUCUUUUUAUUUUAUUAUUUUUAUUUUUUUUUUUUUAAAUUUUGCAACAGGCUACUUUUAAAUGAUUUAAAGGCUUGUAAAUGUUGAUUUGUAUUUUUUGUUAAACUGUUUUUUGUUCCCUUGAUACUGUGUGCACCUUUUCUGCAGCUGAGUUGGUUCUGCGCAUCUCUCAAAGCAAAGAUACUCCAGUGUUGUACUGAUUACUGCUGUAUUUCCUACACAGCAAGUUCAAUGACCUACAAUUACCUAAUAAAAUGCCAGGCAAUAAGAAAAAAUAAAUUCUGUUCCAAAUGGA